UACGAAGGGUGCGAGCGUUAUUCGGAAUCACUGGGCGUAAAGGGUGCGUAGACGGUAUGUUAAGUUCGUUGUUAAAGCCUCCGGCCUAACCGGAGUAUUGCGAUGAAAACUGGCAAGCUAGAGGGUGAGAGAGAGAAGUGGAAUUCCCGGAGUAGCGGUAAAAUGCGUGGAUCUCGGGAGGAACACCAAUGGCGAAGGCAGCUUCUUGGCUCAUUCCUGACGUUGAGGCACGAAAGCGUGGGGAGCAAACGGGA
rnacentral:rRNA from 1 species